GGCAUGGGGAGGGACUAAGCCAUGCGAGUCAUUGUAGCAAUACAAGGCAGACGGCUCAGUAACGCGUAGUCAAUCUACCCUAUGGACGGGGAUAACCUCGGGAAACUGAGAAUAAUGCCCGAUAGAACACUAUACCUGGAAUGGUUUGUGUUCCAAAUGAUUUAUCGCCGUAGGAUGGGACUGCGGCCUAUCAGUUUGUUGGUGAGGUAAUGGCCCACCAAGACUAUUACAGGUACGGGCUCUGAGAGGAGUAGCCCGGAGAUGGGUACUGAGACACGGACCCAGGCCCUAUGGGGCGCAGCAGGCGAGAAAACUUUGCAAUGUGCGAAAGCACGACAAGGUUAAUCCGAGUGGUUUCUGCUAAAGGAACCUUUUGUCAGUCCUAGAAACACUGACGAAUAAGGGGUGGGCAAGUUCUGGUGUCAGCCGCCGCGGUAAAACCAGCACCUCAAGUGGUCAGGAUGAUUAUUGGGCCUAAAGCAUCCGUAGCUCGUUUUGUAAGUUUUCGGUUAAAUCCAUACGCUCAACGUAUGGGCUGCCGGGAAUACUGCAUAACUAGGAAGUGGGAGAGGUAGACGGUACUCGGUAGGAAGGGGUAAAAUCCUUUGAUCUAUUGAUGACCACCUGUGGCGAAGGCGGUCUACCAGAACACGUUCGACGGUGAGGGAUGAAAGCUGGGGGAGCAAACCGGAUUAGAUACCCGGGUAGUCCCAGCUGUAAACUAUGCAAACUCAGUGAUGCAUUGGCUUGUGGCCAAUGCAGUGCUGCAGGGAAGCCGUUAAGUUUGCCGCCUGGGAAGUACGUACGCAAGUAUGAAACUUAAAGGAAUUGGCGGGGGAGCACCACAAGGGGUGAAGCCUGCGGUUCAAUUGGAGUCAACGCCGGG
rnacentral:rRNA from 1 species